AGGGAAGACUUCCUCGUCCCCAUUUCAAGUUUCCUGCAAAUUUGGCGGAAGGCUCUGUACGCACAACGAUGGUAGACGGUAGAGUACAAUCUGAAGAGAAACGCAAAAAGAAGAAGAGAAAGCUUAGAGAAUAUGAAGAGAAGGACAGAGACAGAAAGACUUUGCGUAUCGAUUUUCCGGAGGAGAAAGAAGGAGGAGAAGGAGAAAGAGAGAAACACGAAAAGGGAGAAACGAACCAAAAGUUUAAAGGAGGACGAUGGAAAAAUUUAGACUUGAUUUUAUCUCUCCAGAGCAAAGAAUAUGAUCUUCAAAGGAAAGUAGAACUCGGGUUCCAUUUCGUUAAUUCAAAAAUCGGUGAAGAGGGAGAUGACACCAAUGAAGCUGUUGAAAUGGUGAGCGUCUCUCGCUUAGUUAUAUUCCUCAAUGAAUGGAUUCAGUCCUUGUUAACUUCUUUGGACAAGAGAAUCAUUGUUGAAGGAAAGAAACCUCGGUCUGGGGUCACGGAGGCUUGUCUAGACUUUAGAUGCUGGGUUGUUUUUAAAUUCUGCCUGGAGGAGUCUACGAACCAGAACGUGUCACUGAGCUUCUCUCCAAAUCUUUUGCGAGCAAUGUCUUGCAUUUUAAGGGAUGCAAUAUCAACAGUGGAUAGUAUGCUGCAGCAUGGGGAAGAGCUGGUUCUUAUCGGUGAAGAGUUUGAACUCUACACUGUUGUGGCGGAUUGUGUUACCUUGCUGUUCUCUUCUCGUGGUAGGGUGUUUAAUGCCAAUAUGGACUUGUGGGCUUCGAUGGUUAUGUUGGUGCUUGAGCUUGACCACAAGAUUUUAUCUUAUAAAUUAGCUUUUGGUAAUGCAGCCUCCCUUCUACUGCGCUUGUCGGGUCUGUUGCUUGAGCCCUUUACUAAUUUAUUAAGGGUUCACCCAAGUCCAAAAAAUGUAUUUCCUGUGAUCGUGGAUAGGCUUCUAGAGCCGCUACUGAGUUUGUUGAACAUGUUGUAUCUUCAGACAAAUGGAGCUAGUUCUGCAUUCACAGAAAAUUUAUUGAAGAUUGCUGAAGAUAUUUUGUUGAAUGGGCUAUUCCAUCCAGCCCAUGUUGAUGGUUUUCUAACCACACGCACCACAGAAAAGUAUAUAGGGUGUCAUGAUAGGAAAAUUAAAGACACGAUAAUGCUUAUUAAAAGCUAUCACAGGCGUUUCUUCCAGAAAUUAGAAAAAAUCAUGAGUGAGAAGACAGUGUCAGUACUAGGUGGUGUUGGAGAGCUCUUUCGCCUGUUUGUUAUCAGAGUAAAGAAGCAAAAGCGAGCUUCAGUCCUGUCUGAGGGUACCAAGAAGAUGAAAAAGACAAUAAUAGCAAAACACGUAGAAGGUGUUAAUACAAGUUCUGCGUCUAAUCUCUCUGCUAGGUACAAUGAUAUAGUCUCAGAAAAGGCUUAUUUUUCAAGUAGGCUGGACAUGGAAACAUGUAAAACCCUAUUUGAUCUCUUUGCACAGUUUAUGGAAUAUUUGCUACUUGAUCUUAAAAGGUAUUCUGAAAUUGAUCUGGAAGAAGAGCCGCCAUUGUUGGAUAUUCAUUGCAGUCUCAAAUGUACUAAUAAGAUAAUUUCCAGUUUUAUGCGGGAAAAAAUAUACGUACAGACUGAGGAUACGACUGAGGGAGCACAUAUUAAUUUCUUGAAGUUGGUCUAUGAUACAAUUAUAUCAUUUUCUGCAAAAAUACAGCUACUCUGGUUGUCGGAAUUGAAGAGAGGUGAGGGAAGGCAUAAGGAGAUGCUGCCUUCAAUAGCCAAGGAGCUUUUUGUUGCUGUAUGCUUAUUCCUGGAAAUUGAAUACAAGGUUGUUGAGAAUGAUUUGGUAAGUUUGUGGCUUAUGAUGCUCUCAUUCUUGGCUAUUGAACAGUCUCAAAGUGAUACAGCAUGCGGAAAUGUGUUAAGUUCAGAAAUUCUGCACCUUGGAUGCCAGUUGAUUAAUAUCUAUAGCGAGCUGCGCCAGGUUAAUGUUCCCAUAUUUGCGCUAUCUAAGUCAGUGAGGAUUUUUGGAUUUUGUGAUGAUGACGGUCAAAUGAGUUAUUCAAGAUUCAUUUCAGCACCUUCAUUGCCCUCUGAAGCAUGUAUAAGGUCAGUGGCAACGUUAUUAUGCUCACCAGAUUUUAGGCUUGCUAUUUCUAGUGCUAUCAAGUCCAUACCGGAAGGGCAAGCCAGUGGAUGCAUCCGUAUGUUGAAAUCAGAUAUAGUACUGUCCUUAGAAUGGAUGAAAGUUACUUCUUUGAGGGAUUCCGCAGGAGAAUUGGGGAAAGCUAAUUUAUUAAGUAACAGCAUGUUGGUUUUAAAUUUGCAAGCUGAACUUUUAGGAAGGGCUUUGUCUGAAGUGUACACCAUUAUAUUAGAUUCUUCAACUGUAACUACUGGUAACAGUAUUCUUGUUGGAAGCUCUGUGAAGGAUCUGAUGACUGAAAUAUGUCCGACCUUAGGUUUCCUGGUUGGAGAGCAGAAUGAGAGUGUCAAUGAGUUCCUCUUUUCUGUCACAGGAAGAAGGUUUUCCAAUCAUAAGAUGCCUGACCAUGAAAAUAAUUUAUCUACAACAGGGACCGUCACUGCCUGGAUUUUAAUGUUUUUCUUUCGUUUGUAUGUUUCUUGCCGAAGCUUGUACCGGCAAUCAAUCAGCCUUAUGCCUCCUGAUUCUUCAAGAAAGGCAUCCGCAGCAAUGGGAGAUUUGUUUACAGCAUACUCUGGAAAGGAUUGGAUGGAGAAGACAGACUGGGCUGAUGACGGUUAUUUUUCUUGGAUUAUCAAACCUUCAGCUUCUCUUCUGACCGCUAUAGAAUCUGUUUCAAAAGUUUGUCUUCUGCACAAUGUUGCUGAAUGUCCCCCCCUUGUCUAUGUUUUUCAUACCAUGGCUUUCCAGAGGAUUGUGGAUUUAAAUAUGCGGAUAAAAGCUUCUGAAUUCUCACAGGAGAGGGUUGUAAGGUUGGUCCAACUGGAAAUGGAUGAUGCUGGGUUACGUCUGUCUCGUAAAGAAAAGAAAAAGUGGAAAAGGAAAAUAUCAAUUCUUAAGAAAGAGGCAUCUGAUCUUACUAGCUUCAUGAUGGCAUACCUCCCUUUAAUUGCUAAGCGGGAAAUUUCAGACUCUCUGACUUUUAAGGGAAAAGAUGCAUGUGUUGCUCAUGAAAAUGAAGCAUGGGAUUUCUGUGUAUCUUCUAUUAAUGAAAAGUCAUUGCCUACUGCACUUUGGUGGAGUCUUUGCCAAAACACUGAUAUUUGGUGUUCUCAUGCUUCUAAGAAGGAGCUGAAGAAAUUUUUAUCCCUUCUUCUCUAUAAUUACUUAUAUUGCAUGAGAAGCAGUUUAGGGGACAUUAAAAAGCAAAACAUGAAUGAAAGUCAUGAAACUGGGUAUCUAAGGAAAGUAGCUGUGCAUCAGAUCUCGUUGGAACUUCUCAGGGACACUGUUCUUUAUGAGGAAACAUUCCUCUGCAGGCAUUUGAGAUCAAGAUUCUGCCAUAUACUGGAGGAGUCAAUAGCACCACAAUUUUGGGAUUCUCUGACCAAGGGUGUUAAUUUUAGUUCAUUACCUAAUUGGCCAGAGGUUUUGGGGUUGCUAGAAGAAUCAUCAGUGCUUGUUCUUAAAGGCACAGAUGUUGCACAUGGUGCCUCUAGAAUGGAAAGACAGGAUUCUGUUCCUUCUAAUUUUCCAUCCAUGGGAAGCCUAAAGGGACCGAAAGCCUUACACACUACCGGCAUGGGACUUGAAGCUUGUCAAACUUUGAUUCAUUUCCUAAGUUGGAUGCCAAAAAGUUAUUCAAAUUCAAGAUCAUGCUUAAUUUAUGCAACUUACAUUCUAAAUCUUGAAAGGCUUGUGGUUUUUGGCUUAUUAGAUUUUCAUGGUGAACUAGACACGGUUAAUCACAGUGAUCUCUUGAGAUUGUUUGUAUCUUGCCGGAGGGCAUUGAAAUACUUAAUGAUAGCAUGUUCUGAGGAGAAGAUGGAAGUUGGAUCAUCAUCAGUUAUUUCAGUGCUCUUUGAGAGUUCGGGUUCUCUUUUAUGGCUUUUAAGGUCUGUUUUUGCAGUUCUUGGGCUCUCAAUCAUGGUUUCAGAAGCGUCUGGUGGCCCAGUGAAAGAUAUGGUCUUCUCGCUGAUGGACCAUACAUCCUAUGUGUUUUUGAUGGUAACCAAAGAACAUUUCCAUCUAGCAAUUCACUCCCUAAUAUAUGAUGAAAAUCCUUGUGGAGAAUUCCUCGAGUCUGGUAUGAUCUGUAAUGAAGAUAACUUAGUUGACUCUGAUCCAAGAUUUGACUACUCUGGACAUGCUAAUGCCUGGAAAGGUGUGGUACUUAUGGCGGACAUUUUGAAGGAACAGACACAAAGCUUCCUUGAAUCUCUAAAGAAUACCCAUUGUAAUGUAAACUUUGAACCUGGUGUUGAUGUUGUGAAUUUGAAUAAGUUAUCCUCUAUAAUAUCUUGUUUUCAAGGUUUUUUGUGGGGUCUUGCAUCUGUCUUGAACAAUGUACAUGAGAAGUGUUCCACAGCGAAAACAAAAUCAUUGAUACGGAAACUUGUUCAUAUCCCUGAACUCAGCCCCUGUAUCUCUGUGUUUGAGGAUCUUAUACUUCUUUACUUACAAGUACUGCUUUUUGAGAAUGGUCUUCCUAAGUUCAACAACAAUAAUGGUUCAUUGAGCUUCAAGGUGCCCUGUUGGUCUUUGCACAAAUAUUCUGGAGAUGAGGUAAUGAAUCCUGACAAGCAGGAAGAGAACAUUGAAGGUGGAAAGAAUGAUUUGGCAUUAGAUACUGACAAUUGUCAUGGAAGUGCUUUGAGUUCUGGAGUUAAUGGUUUUAGUGUUUGGAAGAAAAGUUUGCUCUCUGAAAAUUCUGAAUGUACUGACGAGGAUAUGCUGACUGAGUUUGAUCCAUUUGAGCUGCAAAAUCUGAAGAAGGAUUUGAUGCAAAAUUUGUUAAAAGGUGAACAUCCUGAAGUAGCAUUUUCAGUCCGACAACUUUUUGUUGCAGCUUCUGCUAUUCUAAGACUACAAUUGCAGAUUAAUUGCAGCCCCUUGUCAUCCACCUUGAUACCUAUUUUUGUUGGCAUUUCACAGUUCUUGUUAAUGGAGUUCUCAAACAUGAGUGCGAUGCCACACUCGUUUUCUUUUAUUUGGUUAGAUGGUGUUCUAAAAUAUCUUGAAGUUUUAGGGGGUCACUUUUCUUCAACCAAUCCCACAUCAUCUAGAAGUGCGUAUGCUCAACUAAUAGAUAUACAUUUAAGGGCUAUAGGGAAAUGCAUUUCUUUACAGGGAAAAGGAGCUACUCUUCAAUCUCAGGAGAGAGAAUUGGGUAAAGAGACACUUCAAGGUCAAAUAGGGUCAUUUGAAUCCCCUUUUUGUCAUGAGCUCUAUAGCUUGGGUGAGUUUAAAGCUAGGCUGAGGACGUCAUUCACAGUUUUCAUCAGGGAACCUCUAGAGCUGCACUUAUUGUCAGCAGUACAGGCUAUAGAGAGAGCACUGGUAGGUGUGCGGGAAGGCUGCAAUAUUUCUUAUGAGAUAAAUACUGGAAACCCAGAUGGGGGAAAAGUUUCAUCUGUUGUUGCAGCUGCGGUUGACUGCUUGGAUGUGGUCCUUGAAUCUGUUUCAGGGAGGAAGCGCUUGAACGUGGUUAGAAGACAUAUCCAAAGUUUCAUUAGUGCCUUAUUCAACAUAGUAGUACACUUGCAGAGUCCGCUAAUCUUCUGUGUGAAAUUAACCUGUGAUGAUAGAGAUACUGGUCCUGAUCCUGGAUCAGUCAUUCUUAUGUGUGUCCAGGUUCUAACAAAAGUUGCUGGAAAACAUGCCCUGUUUCAGAUGGAUUCUAGUCAUGUGGGACAGGCUCUACAUGUACCAGCAAUGCUUUUUAAAGAUUUCCGUCAGCUGAGAGCCCAAGCUACAUCCAAUUCUCUAUUCUUUAGCGAACAAGAAUCAAAGCCUGUAGCAGUUGUGGAUUCCUAUGUUGUAGUUCAGAAGUUUACAGUAGAGUUGUUUAGUGCAUGCUGCAGAUUAUUGUGUACCAUGGUUAGGCACCAUAAGAGUGAGACUGAACAAUGCAUUGCUCUGCUUGAAGAUUCAGUUUCUGUUCUCCUUGUUUGUUUGGAGACGGUGGAUACUGAUUUAAUGGCCAGAAAAGGUUACUUUGCUUGGGAUGUACAACAGGGAGUAAAGUGUGCUAGCUUUCUCCGGAGGAUAUAUGAAGAGAUAAGGCAGCAGAAGGACAUCCUGGGGCGGUAUUGUUUUCAAUUUCUGUCCAGUUACAUAUGGAUCUAUUCAGGAUAUGGUCCUUGUAAGACUGGCCUCAAAAGGGAAAUAGAUGAGGCUCUGAGACCAGGGGUCUAUGCUUUAGUCGACGCGUGCUCGUCAGAUGAUCUUCAACAUCUUCACACUGUAUUGGGAGAGGGACCUUGCAGGAGCACGCUGGCUACUCUGCAACAUGACUACAAACUGAAUUUCCAAUAUGAAGGAAAAGUCUGAUCUGAAUUAUUUCUUUUGCCAAAAUCAUCUUUAUUCCCCCAAGCGGCUGUUUAGAUAAUGAGAAAAGCUAUGUGGCGAGAGACUUGCAGAAUGGCAUUCACCAACACAAAUCAAGUUGAAUGUUGUCUUAGUUUCCUUAACCAAAGCCUUUCUAUGACAUAUUGACAUGAGAUUUAUGCCUUCCAGAUUCCCUGUUAUAGAGAAAACUGGAGAUAGCAAAAUGAAAAAUCACCACAAUUGAUUGGCAUCACGGGGUAAUGUCUCAGAACACAGAUACUAACAGGUAAACAUGAUAGAUUCAACAAUGUUGUAGACUAAAAAGAAAGCAUGUAAGUUUUCUUGAUUGAGGAAGGGCUGCAUCUUAAUAAUUACACUAUCAUUAGCCUUGAUGAAAAGCAAUCCAGUUUGUCUGAACUCUAAACUAAUGCCAUUGUAUCCUUCAAAUAUGAUCCAUAAUGAAGUUUUCUGUUGC